rnacentral:rRNA from 1 species
UACCAGCUCUCCGAGUGGUUGGGAUGAUUAUUGGGCUUAAAGCGUCCGUAGCCGGCUUAGCAAGUUUCCUGUUAAACCCAGCGACUCAAUCGUUGGAUCGCGGGAAAUACUACUAGGCUAGGAGGCGGGAGAGGUCAACGGUACUUCUGGGGUAGGGGUGAAAUCCUAUAAUCCCGGGAGGACCACCAGUGGCGAAGGCUGUUGACUAGAACGCGCUCGACGGUGAGGGACGAAAGCUGGGGUAGCAAACCGGAUUAGAUACCCGGGUAGUCCCAGCUGUAAACGAUGCGAGCUAGGUGUUGGGAUGGCUACGGGCCAUUUCAGUGCCGCAGGGAAGCCAUUAAGCUCGCCGCCUGGGGAGUACGGCCGCAAGGCUGAAACUUAAAGGAAUUGGCGGGGGAGCACCACAAGGCGUGAAGCUUGCGGUUC